GACUGGGUGGACGCCACGUGGGGCCACUAGGAGGUGGUUCCGGGAUCGCUCAUCCUGGAUCAUUGCCUUUCUCCAUCUGCACGCACGCAGGCCAAGCUGGACCACUCGGAGGUGCUGGAGCUGAUGGCGCGCACGAAUUGAGUUCUAGGCCUUAGGCAAGACCAAAGAGGAAAAGGAAAUCAACUUCUUCCUAGUUGAUAAAGACUGGAGGAAAAGCAACUGUUAAAACUGUGUUCAUAUGACCACACAUAGGAACUGUCAAGGAAGAUACCAAAGGACGAACUCUUCUUAAGGUAAAAGACAACAUAAAGCUAUGCAUCAACAAGCUGCAACAAGCUCCCGCUGCCAAGGAUGGAGUCCUCGCUACCAGGGAUGGAGCCCCCGCUUCCAAGGAUGGAGCCCCCGCUUCCAUGGAUGGAACCCCCGCUUCCGUGGAUGGAACCCCCACUGCCGUGGAUGGAGCCCCUGCUUUCAAGGAUGGAGCCCCCGCUGCCAAACCUUCCCUCCCAAGAUCAACCGUAUCUCCUCAAACUGUAAGCCAAACUAAACCUUUCCUCCCUUGAGUUGUUUCUGUUAGAUUUUCUCUCACAGUGAGGAGAAAAGUAAUAUGGAUGCUUAGCCCAUUUCUAAUAUUGUGUCACCGUCAUUUAUGAUUUAAACAUGGACUGGUUCUUUAGUAUUGGCAGAAAGUAGAAAGCUUGUAAUUUUUAGUCCCCAUCACAUAGGUAGGAGCUUAGGAAAAAUCCCACAUUCUCCUGGUGCUCUCUAACUAAGACCCGACAGGGAGAAAAGAUCUUCUGAGACUUUGCAGCUCUAUGGGUGCCUUCACAGAUACAUUUCAGACAGCUUCCAUAACUGUUCUUUGAGUCUAAAGCCCCAUGGUUGGUAACAACAGAGCUACUGCGAUGUUUCUAUUUAUAAAAGGUAAAUGUUCAAUUUUUCAAUUCCAAGAGACUUUCUUUGUGAGACCCAAUUAACCAAGAUCUGUUAGGCUAACAGAAAGUAAAUGACUCUUCAGAAGGCUGCGGACUUCAUCUAUGUAAAAUGUAAAUUUCCAGGAAAGUCUCCAUGGCACCUUGAGAGCUUAACCGAGGUAUCAUCUCAAAUUGUAAUCACUUGCUUAAAGAGGGGCUGAGAAGUUCUAUUAUUCCUUUGUGUUGAUUCGAUGAACUAAAACAACGACCUCAAUUUGCAAAUGAAUUUAGGAUGAGCUGAAAUGGGAAAAAAAAGGAGUGCUAUUCUCUUAUAAGAGAAACAAGAUACAAUAAAAUCUGAAAGACAUGUUUUGUACUGGUUCAGAACUGCUGUCUAAUGUGUGCCAAAUGUCCUACUUUAUAUUAGAUAAAAAUUAGAGGAGGCCAUUGUUUUGGAUUCUAAGCUCCUGCAUGAAGCCCUGACAGAACAUAAUAAAUAUCAAAAUAUUGUUACUUAUACUGAAGCAAGUUAUCUGACCUUCCAAAAAUGAGAGAUGAUAGUGCAGUUUCUCAAACAGGCCAGUUACAGUAGGCAUGAUAAUGAAGCUCUCCCUGUUCCCAAUGUUUCAUCCCCAAAGUAACCUGAAGUAACCUAAAGUUAACCAAUCAGUGUACUUUCUUUGGUUCUCUCUAUAUAUAUAUUGUCUGCCAAAGGACCUUGGAACAGCUAACCCAGUCUGUUAUUUAUGUAUGUUUCCUUCAGUUUCUGUUUACCAACCUUCUACUAACUUCAUUGAAGCAUUUAUUUGCUUCAUGAAACGAAGCAUUGCCUGAUUCAAGAACCACAAACCCACUCCAAAACCUUUAAGAUAAAUUUGCUGUAUUCUGCCAUUUGACAGCAGUCUCAUUCAGAUUGCCUAUGCACAAAUAACUUGAGUAUGCUUAAUAAAUAAUCAAACACAAUAAUUUUCUAGGCUUUAAGAGAAUAUUCUGUGCCAGAAUUUUUAUCUCUUGAAUAGGUUGGAUACCUAUAGAUAUGGAACAGAAUAAAUAAUGUUAGAAAUCAAAAGUCCAGGCAAUGUAUAAUAAUAUCUGCUUGUCAAGACUUGGAAGCAACUUGAAACAUGAAUUCAUAUGCAAGCCAAAUCCCAGGUAAAACACAAAAUUAGAAACCAUGAAGGAAAAAGACAGAAUUGUAAGGUAUGUGGAAUGGAGCAAAUUUGGCAACAAGCACCCAGAGACAUGGCAAGGGUGUUCAGGGGAGAAUAAACACUGCAAUGAGGAAGAGAGGGUAGCCAGAUAUUCAAAUAUAGUCUGCAUUUCUUCCUGGGUCAAAUGGGCAAGGCAAAGCAAAACCAGAGAAUUGGUCUCUUCAUUGAGAGAACAAUAUGUACAAAGUUGUCCUGGCCAGAGGAUUCAUGGAUCUUCUCUGGCUAGCCAUAAGGCUGGCUAAAAGCACUAGAAAGAACAUAAGGGAAAGAGGUAACAUCUAUCAACAAAAUGACAGUAUUUGUAACCUGUUAAAACUAACUCCAACUUUACAUUCUGGAAAUCUUAGCAUGAGUAAUUUCACCAAGCAACAUCUGCCACAAUCUGAAGUGAAUUCUAGCUUACUUAAUUCUACUUUAAAAACCAACAUAAGCAGAGAUCUGAUUAAAAUAUGCUAACUGUAUAUAGUGAAAAAAUGAUGUAGCUACUUUUAAAGGAUAAAUUCAAUUUUUACACAUAAAAUAUCUAUGGUAUAUAAUUUUUAAAUUUAACUAGAAUAUACAGGUAAGCCCACAUCAUAUUUGUAAAUGACCUAUGUGUGUUUGAUGAUUUUCUUAUACCAAUUAUUCAAUAAUUUCAAUUUCUUCUUUCUAUAGAUGCAGAAAAUUCACCAAAGAUCUAGCUGUUAUAUUGCUCACGCCUGAAUGUUCUAAAAUUUCUACUUUGUUGUCCUUUAAAUAACAAACAAU
ensembl:processed_transcript